CCUACGGGAGGCAGCAGUGGGGAAUAUUGGACAAUGGGCGCAAGCCUGAUCCAGCCAUGCCGCGUGAGUGACGAAGGUCUUCGGAUUGUAAAGCUCUUUUGGCGGGGAAGAUAAUGACGGUACCCGCAGAAUAAGCCCCGGCUAACUUCGUGCCAGCAGCCGCGGUAAUACGAAGGGGGCUAGCGUUGUUCGGAAUCACUGGGCGUAAAGCGCACGUAGGCGGAUGUGCCAGUCAGGGGUGAAAUCCCGGAGCUCAACUUCGGAACUGCCUCUGAUACAGCACGUCUUGAGUCCGGAAGAGGUGGGUGGAAUUCCUAGUGUAGAGGUGAAAUUCGUAGAUAUUAGGAAGAACACCGGUGGCGAAGGCGGCCCACUGGUCCGGUACUGACGCUGAGGUGCGAAAGCGUGGGGAGCAAACAGGAUUAGAUACCCGAGUAGUC
rnacentral:rRNA from 1 species